GACGAACGCUGGCGGCGUGCUUAACACAUGCAAGUCGAACGGAAAGGCCCUGCUUUUGUGGGGUGCUCGAGUGGCGAACGGGUGAGUAACACGUGAGUAACCUGCCCUUGACUUUGGGAUAACUUCAGGAAACUGGGGCUAAUACCGGAUAGGAGCUCCUGCUGCAUGGUGGGGGUUGGAAAGUUUCGGCGGUUGGGGAUGGACUCGCGGCUUAUCAGCUUGUUGGUGGGGUAGUGGCUUACCAAGGCUUUGACGGGUAGCCGGCCUGAGAGGGUGACCGGCCACAUUGGGACUGAGAUACGGCCCAGACUCCUACGGGAGGCAGCAGUGGGGAAUAUUGCACAGUGGGCGGAAGCCUGAUGCAGCAACGCCGCGUGCGGGAUGACGGCCUUCGGGUUGUAAACCGCUUUCGCCUGUGACGAAGCGUGAGUGGCGGUAAUGGGUAAAGAAGCACCGGCUAACUACGUG
rnacentral:rRNA from 1 species